GUACUCUCGUUCAAGCUCUCUGUGUACGUGUCUGCCUGUGUGUGUGUGUGUGUGUGUGUGUGUGUAGGUACUACAUCCUAUUGGGGCUCUGUGCUCUCCCGGGCAGGCGACCUCCUCCUCCAUUGCCUUUCUCGCUCCGCUUUCUGCUGUAUUGUUGCUGUUCCUUCCCUCAAGUGCGAUAUCCCGUUAGCCGCCCAUCUCAUCCAUCGCCGUCACCGCCAUUGUCGGAGGGGGUGUCAAACAUUUUUCGUGCCUGCUUGGUAUACCAUCACCAACACCCCACACACACAUACUCACCACCGCAGCCGGGGGCACCGCAGGAACGUGAACGACGAGAGGCAGAGCGAUGGCAAGCACUGGCAAGCUGAAGGUGCCGGAGACGGCGGAAGAGGCGAAGGAGCUCGUCGCGGUGAUGCGGCAGCUGCCGGACAACCGCGUCUGCUUCGACUGCCCGCAGAAAAACCCGAGCUGGUGCAGCGUGACGUACGGCCUCUUCCUAUGCAUGGACUGCUGCGGCCGCCACCGUGGCAUGGGGGUACACAUCACCUUCAUGAAGUCUGCGGAGCUUGACAGCUGGCGCCCGCAAGAGGCACUGCGUGUGGCGCUUGGCGGCAACAGCAGGGCGAAGCAGUUCCUGAAGCAGCACGGCAAUAUGGACCCCAAGUCCUUCUACACCUCCCCCGCCGCCGCGCUGUACAAGCGCAUGGUUGACAAGGCCGUGAACGACUUCACACUGAACGGGCAGCUACCGUCGGCGUCUCCCGUGCCGCAGCUGGCGUGCGAGGCGUCGCCGCAGUCGGACAACUGUGCUUCUCCGACGUUCAUCGGUGUCGCCGCCCCCACUGGGUCGUCCCUGUCGCCUACCCCCAGCGCCAGCCCCGACGUGACGGCACAGGGCAGCCCCGUGACAGUGGCGCCGAUCGUGGCGAUCUCCUCCAAGCCCACCGGGCUCGGGACGAAGAAGCUCGGCGGCAGCGGCGCGGCGCUUGGCGCGAAGGGGAAGAAGAAGGGCUUCGGCGGCAUCGCCCGCGUCGAGGGCAUCAUCGAGGAGUCCACACGGCCGGUGCCUGAAGAGCUGCUGUAUGACCGCGAGGCAGAGCACCGCAAAGCCGCCGAGGCAGAGAUGGAGCGCCAGCGCCAGGCAGACCUGGCUGCCGCCGCCGCCCGCGCGGUGGACCCGAGCAUGCUUGGUCGCGGCGAGCCGCAUGCGCCGAAGGCACCGAAGGUAACACAGGCACCGCGGCAGACCGGCUUCAUCGGCAAGAACGCGGAGAACGUCAACGGCGAUCUUUUCGACGACACGAACGUGCCGGCGACGGCACCGGCGCCGCCAACGCGCCAGCCGUGCGGCGUGGGCGGCAACAACACCACGAACGUCUCGGCCUCCGCGGCCACGGCGAGGUCGGCGACGCCGACGCUACCGCCAAUGUCCGUCUCGGCGGCGCCGCGCGCCGGGCCUGACUUCCGUGGUCUCGGCAACCAGGCGUACGUGCCUGAGGACACCUACUGCGCCAGCGGCGGUCCGCGUGGCAGCAGCGGCGGCAUGGGCGCGCCCGGUACCGCAAGCGACGCUCUCUGGCAUGUCACGGAAGCCGCGCGCAGCCUGCAGCAGAGCGCUGCACAGGCAACCGGGGCUUUGGGAGAGGCGGUGAAGAACUUCCUGGAUGAUCUGUAGGUAAGCAAAAAGCAAAAUGGGAGGAGCGCGGCGUACGGUGAUGGUUCGCGCUGUUCUCUCAGUGUCGGUGUGUGUGUGUGUGUGUGUGUGUGUGUGCACCUUCGUUGUUGAGGGCGCAUUCCUCUUUCAUAUAGGCGAUGAAGUGUGGACGUUUCUGACUGUGUGUGUUAGCAGCGCGUGCACGCGCGGAUGCCGGUGUCCUUUCCUUCCGGGAUUAGCAUCCCUGAUGGCAGGGAGAGGACACACCUUUCCGUGCGUCGUAUCUCAGGGCCCAGCGCACCCCCUCCCCUCCCCCUCCCAUCUCUCUCUGUGUGUGGGAGGGAGGCCAAGCAGCACCCCUCCAGCCCUGGCAAAUGCCGAGCGACUUCGGGUGGUGUGACGGGGUCAAGCGCCCACGAUAUGGGGAGGUCAGAGCGAUGUAUCCGCUGCUGAUGGCGGCGGUGGGGCCCCUUGGAGAGCGUGGCGCCGUCGCGACCUGCGACACUGAGCACACGUUUGUGCCAUCCAUGUGGUGGGCAGCGUGUCAGCGUGACUCGAGCGCAUCCCGCCCCCCGGCCCUCCACUGCCCAUUGGUGGGGGGGAGCCUGAGCCACCCCGAGGGGAGUGAAGCACCGCGUGGCGGCCGGCAUGAUUGGGAGCGGCUGCGGGCCAAUCUGCAGGAUGGGUAGUGGGUAGAUGGGGGGGAGGGGCAGAGGCCGAGCUCAGAUGACUGAGUCGGUGCGUUGCCGUACCGCAUGUCUACGGCUGCUUCGCACCACGCAAUGGGUGCCUGUGGCAGGGCGGAGUUCAGCUCGUGUCGUGUGGCAGAGAAAAUGAACGUGUUGACAACAUAUAAACGGAUCGGCAUGCCUUUGAUGGGCGAUGGAAUCAAGA
rnacentral:misc_RNA from 1 species